UAAAUUUUAUUUUAAAAAAAAAGUAAUAUUUACAAUAUUAAAAUAAAUUUGUAUUUAAAUUUAA
rnacentral:tRNA from 1 species